rnacentral:rRNA from 1 species
UACAGAGGUCUCAAGCGUUGUUCGGAUUCAUUGGGCGUAAAGGGUGCGUAGGCGGCGCGGUAAGUCGGGUGUGAAAUCUCGGAGCUUAACUCCGAAACUGCAUUCGAUACUGCCGUGCUUUGAGGACUGGAGAGGAGACUGGAAUUUACGGUGUAGCUGGUGAAAUGCGUAGAUAUCGUAAGGAAGACCAGUGGCGAAGGCGGGUCGUCUGGACAGUUCCUGACG